CGGGGCGCGGCCGCCGCCGUUGCCCGCCGUAAAUUUCCACUUUGUCAAACGCUGUCCCCCCGGCCCCACCUCCGUUACUGGCGCGGUGGUACGGGGUGAUAUUAGACGUGCCUUCCGCUCCCAAUUCGCUUGUGGGACAAUCUGAGCCGAGAGUCCAGCCGUUCCCCUCAUAAAGAUGCGGGCUCGCUGGCUUUGUGAGAUGGUACUGAAGUUUCGCAUACACAGGUCUCACUCUGCUGCAGAAAGGACAGUUUUGGCCCAUGGUUAGACAUCUCAACAGAAGGAUCAAGUUCAAAUUGAUGAAAUUUAAAAGAACUGAAGAUUAAAAGAAAAAAUACCUUUGUGUAAAUCAUCUUGAAUGCAUGGAUAAUUCCCAUGUACUUGUGUUCCCCUUUUACUUGGAACGCCAGGCGAACUCUAACCAUAUCAAGAGGGGCCAAGACAAAUCCAUACCAGGGGAAGAAAAAAAGCAAACAAAAACCAACAACAAAAUCCAAAUGCAGCACAAACCCUGCAGACAAGCUCUGCAUAAUGUUUAUGCCUGGGGUUAAAAAAAAACCUAAAAAAACA